rnacentral:rRNA from 1 species
GUGUCAGCAGCCGCGGUAAAACGUAGGAGGCGAGCGUUAUCCGGAUUUACUGGGCGUAAAGCGCACGCAGGCGGAGUGGCAAGUUGGACGUGAAAGCUCCUGGCUUAACUGGGAGAGGCCGUUCGAGACUACCAGUCUUGAGGUAGGGAGAGGGGUGUGGAAUUCCCGGUGUAGUGGUGGAAUGCGUAGAUAUCGGGAGGAACACCAGUGGCGAAGGCGGCACCCUGGCCCUCACCUGACGCUGAGGUGCGAAAGCGUGGGUAGCAAACAGGAUUAGAUACCCUGGUAGUCCACGCUGUAAACGAUGUCAACUAGGUGUUGGUAGUGUUACACUAUCAGUGCCGUAGCCAACGCGUUAAGUUGACCGCCUGGGGAGUACGGCCGCAAGGCUAA